ACAUCCUCAACCUGCUUCGUUCUAUCGAACCAAGUAGGCUUGGAAUUUGGAGGUUUUUCUGCUGGCUUCCUCUGAAGCCAGCUCCUCUUAAAUCUAUCAGUGGGAUCCGCUUUGCUAGAUCCUCGACGUUGAUAAGAUGUUUCUACGUCUUGGGUUUCGCUCGGGAAGGACCUGCUUCUAACCGUCCCCAUCGGGGACAAUGUUCGAGAGCCGAUCGCCCUUCACGGGGUGGGAAGCUUUUCGACCCAUGAAA
rnacentral:misc_RNA from 1 species